CUGUGCCAGCAGGAGCGGUAAUACAGAGGCCUCAAGCGUUAUCCGGAUUCACUGGGCGUAAAGGGUGCGUAGGCGGUUAUAUUAGUCGGGUGUAAAAUCCUAGGGCUCAACCUUAGGCUCGCGUUCGAAACGGUAUAACUAGGAGUAGUGAGAGGUGAACAGAACUCACGGUGUAGGGGUGAAAUCCGUUGAUAUCGUGGGGAAUACCAAAUGCGAAGGCAGUUCACUGGCGCUUACUCGACGCUGAGGCACGAAAGCGUGGGUAGCGAACGGGAUUAGAUACCCCGGUAGUCCACGCCCUAAACGCUGUCCGCUGGCUUUAGGGAGAAUCGACCCUCCCUGAGGCGAAGGUAACCCGUUAAGCGGACCGCCUGGGUAGUACGAGCGCAAGCUUAAAACUCAAAGGAAUAGACGGGGGCUCGCACAAGCGGUGGAUCAUGAGGCUUAAUUCGUCGAUAAGCGAAAAACCUUACCCAGGCUAGAAACCAUACUGCACGCUCUCCGAAAGGAGAGAAUCCUUCGAGGGUGUAUGGCAGGUGAUGCAUGGCCGUCGUCAGUUCGUGGCUUGAGCUGUUCCCUUAAGUGGGGAAACGAACGCAACCCUCGUUGCCUGUUACAAGUGUCAGGCGAGACUGCUCCCUCACGGGAGAGGAAGGUGAGGAUGACGCCAGGUCAGCAUGUCCCUUGAUGCCUGGGGCUGCACUCGUGAUACAAUGGGAUGUACAAAGGGACGCAAUACAGUAAUGUGGAGCAAAUCCUGAUAAAACAUUCCUCAGUUCGGAUUGAGGGCUGCAACUCGCCCUCAUGAAGCCGGAAUCGCU
rnacentral:rRNA from 1 species